rnacentral:rRNA from 1 species
UAAUACCGGAUAAUAUUUCGAACCGCAUGGUUCGAUAGUGAAAGAUGGCUUUGCUAUCACUUAUAGAUGGACCUGCGCCGUAUUAGCUAGUUGGUAAGGUAACGGCUUACCAAGGCAACGAUACGUAGCCGACCUGAGAGGGUGAUCGGCCACACUGGAACUGAGACACGGUCCAGACUCCUACGGGAGGCAGCAGUAGGGAAUCUUCCGCAAUGGGCGAAAGCCUGACGGAGCAACGCCGCGUGAGUGAUGAAGGUCUUCGGAUCGUAAAACUCUGUUAUUAGGGAAGAACAAACGUGUAAGUAACUGUGCACGUCUUGACGGUACCUAAUCAGAAAGCCACGGCUAACU